AUUGAACGCUGGCGGCAGGCCUAACACAUGCAAGUCGAACGGUAGCACAGAGGAGCUUGCUCCUUGGGUGACGAGUGGCGGACGGGUGAGUAAUGUCUGGGAAACUGCCCGAUGGAGGGGGAUAACUACUGGAAACGGUAGCUAAUACCGCAUAACGUCGCAAGACCAAAGAGGGGGACCUUCGGGCCUCUUGCCAUCGGAUGUGCCCAGAUGGGAUUAGCUAGUAGGUGGGGUAACGGCUCACCUAGGCGACGAUCCCUAGCUGGUCUGAGAGGAUGACCAGCCACACUGGAACUGAGACACGGUCCAGACUCCUACGGGAGGCAGCAGUGGGGAAUAUUGCACAAUGGGCGCAAGCCUGAUGCAGCCAUGCCGCGUGUAUGAAGAAGGCCUUCGGGUUGUAAAGUACUUUCAGCGAGGAGGAAGGCGUUGUGGUUAAUAACCGCAGCGAUUGACGUUACUUGCAGAAGAAGCACCGGCUAACUCCGUGCCAGCAGCCGCAGUAAGAC
rnacentral:rRNA from 1 species